rnacentral:rRNA from 1 species
UACGUAGGGUGCGAGCGUUGUCCGGAAUUACUGGGCGUAAAGAGCUCGUAGGCGGUUUGUCGCGUCGUCCGUGAAAACUUGGGGCUCAACCCCAAGCUUGCGGGCGAUAACGGGCAGACUUGAGUACUGCAGGGGAGACUGGAAUUCCUGGUGUAGCGGUGAAAUGCGCAGAUAUCAGGAGGAACACCGGUGGCGAAGGCGGGUCUCUGGGCCGAUACUGACGCUGAGGAGCGAAAGCGUGGGGAGCGAACAGG